rnacentral:rRNA from 1 species
UACGUAGGGUGCAAGCGUUUGUCCGGAAUUAUUGGGCGUAAAGCGCGCGUAGGCGGAUCUGCAAGUCGGGGGUGAAAUCCCGAGGCUCAACCUCGGAACUGCCUUCGAUACUGCGGGUCUCGAGUCCGGGAGAGGUGAGUGGAAUUCCUAGUGUAGAGGUGAAAUUCGUAGAUAUUAGGAAGAACACCAGUGGCGAAGGCGGCUCACUGGCCCGGUACUGACGCUGAGGCGCGA